rnacentral:rRNA from 1 species
AGGACGAACGCUGGCGGCGUGCUUAACACAUGCAAGUCGAACGGUGACGAGAAGCUUGCUUCUCUGAUCAGUGGCGAACGGGUGAGUAACACGUGAGCAACCUACCCUUGACUCCGGGAUAACAGUUGGAAACAGCUGCUAAUACCGGAUACGACCUCGACCGACAUCAGUUGAGGUGGAAAGUUCUGGCGGUCAAGGAUGGGCUCGCGGCCUAUCAGCUAGUUGGUGAGGUAACGGCUCACCAAGGCUUCGACGGGUA